rnacentral:rRNA from 1 species
GACAGAGGGUGCAAACGUUGCUCGGAAUCACUGGGCGUAAAGGGCGUGUAGGCGGGCAGGUAAGUCGGGGGUGAAAUCUCGGAGCUUAACUCCGAAACUGCAUUCGAUACUGCCGUGCUUGAGGACUGGAGAGGAGACUGGAAUUUACGGUGUAGCGGUGAAAUGCGUAGAUAUCGUAAGGAAGACCAGUGGCGAAGGCGGGUCUCUGGACAGUUCCUGACGCUGAGGCACGAAGGUCAGGGGAGCAAACGGG